rnacentral:rRNA from 1 species
GGGAUAACACCUGGAAACAGGUGCUAAUACCGUAUAACACUAUUUUCCGCAUGGAAGAAAGUUGAAAGGCGCUUUUGCGCCACUGAUGGAUGGACCCGCGGUGCAUUAGCUAGUUGGUGAGGUAACGGCUCACCAAGGCCACGAUGCAUAGCCGACCUGAGAGGGUGAUCGGCCACACUGGGACUGAGACACGGCCCAGACUCCUACGGGAGGCAGCAGUAGGGAAUCUUCGGCAAUGGACGAAAGUCUGACCGAGCAACGCCGCGUGAGUGAAGAAGGUUUUCGGAUCGUAAAACUCUGUUGUUAGAGAAGAACAAGGAUGAGAGUAAAACGUUCAUCCCUUGACGGUAUCUAACCAGAAAGCCACGGCUAACUACGUGCCAGCAGCCGCGGUAAUACGUAGGUGGCAAGCGUUGUCCGGAUUUAUUGGGCGUAAAGCGAGCGCAGGCGGUUUCUUAAGUCUGAUGUGAAAGCCCCCGGCUCAACCGGGGAGGGUCAUUGGAAACUGGGAGACUUGAGUGCAGAAGAGGAGAGUGGAAUUCCAUGUGUAGCGGUGAAAUGCGUAGAUAUAUGGAGGAACACCAGUGGCGAAGGCGGCUCUCUGGUCUGUAACUGACGCUGAGGCUCGAAAGCGUGGGGAGCGAACAGGAUUAGAUACCCUGGUAGUCCACGCCGUAAACGAUGAGUGAUAGGUGUUGGAGGGUUUCCGCCCUUCAGUGCUGCAGCA